rnacentral:tRNA from 1 species
GGAGAGAUGACCGAGUGGUUGAAGGUGCUCGCCUGGAAAGCGGGUGUGGCGGGAACGUCACCGAGGGUUCGAAUCCCUCUCUCUCCGCCA